CCGUGAGUGAUUUGAACGGAGGUUUUGGAAGAUUUGGGGGACUCCAUCUAGAGGACUGCAGAAAGCACAUUCAGACGUGAUUGUCUCCCAGAAGAGAAACCGUGAAAAGGGCCUAGACCAGACUGGGCUGGACACACAUCGUGUAUACGCAAUAUCCUGAACUGGACUGAUCUUGGGCCAUUCUGUAUUUCUGUAGUUGUCCUGCCGUCCACACACAGCAAGACCAUGGCCUUGGUAAGUUCCACCAAAGGAAAGUUCCCAUUGCCAGUCAUCCUGGAAGAAAGAUUAUCCUGGGGCAGAAACUGAGGACUCAGGAUGUGGGCCUUUGGGGUGACAGAGAAGUUCUCUCCCUCUCUCUCUCUCUCUCUCUCUCUCUCUCCUGAUUCUAGUCUGCCCUACGAGUGAAGACAUGCUCCAUGCAGCUCUAGAAGUGGAGCUGAGCUGGACCCUGCCAUGUGGAGCAAGCUGGGCCUGGAUAGGUCUAUAACAUGCUCCCUUAUCUCAGAGUGCACGAGCAAGACCAAGGGCUCCAGCUGGAGGUUGUUGAUUGGAAAGAAAGGGAAGAAACCCCAUUGUGCACUGUGACAUCGACCACUCUAUGCUGUGCAGAGAGUCCCACUGAAGAAUAUUCAGGCCCUGGAGGGACCACUAGAGUUUCUGCUACUGGAGGGCAGGGGCUCUGCCUUACAGGUGCGGAUGUUCCAGCCCGGAGAGGCCCUUAGCGACCGUCAAGUUCAGCCCCGAUAGGGAAAGGAGCUUGUGCAAGACCCCAUGGUCGGCAGGCCCUGAGAUGAUGGGAUCCCGCUUCACACUGCUGCAUAUCUGCACCCAGCACAAGGCCUUGCACAUGGUUGGCUCUCAAAAAUUUGUGAUGAAUGCAUGGGUGAAGGCAUGAACAGACCAGCCAAACCCUGGGGACGGUUCUCCUGCCUCUCAGGCAAGGCCUUGACCUUGCCUUGCCUCUCAAAGAGCUGCUCUGACUGGGGAUUGAGGCCAAACCAAGGGCCAAGCGGGCAGCUAAGCCCCUCACCAGCUUCGCCUCGGCAUCCUCAUCAUCUCACAUGGUCUGCCUUUGCGGAGAAGAUGCACAAAGGAAGUUGCCCAGUGAAUGGAUUUGUCGAAUGGGUGUGUGAAUAAGAUAUUCUGUCCUUCUGGCUAUCUCUCCACUUGGAGAGCGUGAAGGGAAGUUGUCUUCACCUGGAUCUCCCUAAAGCAGGAUUUGGUGGUAAUUAUUCAUUUAGGAGAUGAGCCACGGAAUUCAAGGUGAGAGAGAGGGUAUGCGAGACAGGGAAGGCAGGUAAGUCACCUCUUUAUUAAGGGAUAUCUUGCUGAGCAGGUUAUCCUUCUGGGCAACAGGGGCUCAGUCCCACUGGGGACCUUCUGAGGGACCAAGAAUCUGUUAUCCAUCAAUAAUUGUUCCUUAGUGAGUGAGGUUUAAACCUGGGGCUAUUGAUUUUCUACACUCUCAGCCUGCCCCAUGCUCCUGCUAUUAGGGAAAGCCCUCAGGUAGAGAGAGGCAGUCUGGGAGCGCAUAAAAAGGUCUACCACAGCUGUCGGUGACCUCCAGGGUGGGCCAUGGGAAUCUGGGCAGGACACUGACAGUGCCUGCUGGAGGAGUGUCUGGACGGUCAUGUCCAGCCCAUCACCACCAAUGCAGGCUGUCUGCAGGUGCAGUGUACCCAGAAGGCAGCAAAGCUAUCUGAUGGGCACAGCCUGAGCCUGUGACCCUGGCCUCACCCUAGCCAGGUAUCUUCCUACAAAUGUUUCCGGAAGGCCCUGUUGAGUUGAUGGUCCCAACUGCUCUAAGGGGCUGGUGGAUGAUUAUGAGAAAGCACUUCCUCCUUUUAUGUGUCCUCGAGGGGGUGGGGAAGUCAGGCACCAACUGGGUGUUGAUGCCUGUCACUAACUCACUGGAUGACCCUGAACAAAUCACUUGCCCUCUCUGGGCCUUAGGUGGCUUAUCUAAUAAUAAUAAUUGAAAGUCAUUAUGGCUUCAAUGAGUUUCUCAGUUUAUAAAUGGUAUUUAUUCUUUGGGAGUUUCAUAGCUUCCCUAUAGACUCAAGGCUGGUAAUCUUUUUUAAUGUUUAUUUAUUUAUUUUGAGAGAGAAAGUGCAUGCAGGGUCGGGGGGGGCGGUGCAGAGAGAGAGAGA